rnacentral:misc_RNA from 1 species
GUGAGUCAUCGAAUCUUUGAACGCACAUUGCGCCCAUUAGUAUUCUAGUGGGCAUGCCUGCUCGAGCGUCAUUUCAACCCUUAAGCCUAGCUUAGCGUUGGGAGACUGCGCUAAACCGCAGCUCCUCAAAACCAGUGGCGGAGUCCUCUCGUACUCUGAGCGUAGUAAUUCUUUAUCUCGCUUCUGCAAGUACGGUUGACGACAGCCAUAAACCGCACCCUCUCGGGGGGCACUUUUUAAUGGUUGACCUCGGAUCAGGUAGGAAUACCCGCUGAACUUAAGCAUAUCAAUAAGCGGAGG